rnacentral:rRNA from 1 species
UGCGUAGGCGGAAUAUUAAGUCAGUGGUGAAAUCCUGCAGCUUAACUGUAGAACCGCCAUUGAUACUGGUAAUCUUGAAUUUAGUUGAGGUGGGCGGAACGUGUAAUGUAGCGGUGAAAUGCUUAGAUAUUACACAGAACACCGAUUGCGAAGGCAGCUCACUAAACUAACAUUGACGCUGAGGCACGAAAGCGUGGGUAGCGAACAGGAUUAGAUACCCUGGUAGUCC